CGCACGUGAUAUAUUGGUCAUUCCUCUUUACACCGUCGUAUCUGAGUCUGCAUUCAGCACCAAUGGACGUGUAAUAGACCCAUAUUGAAACUCAUUAGCACCAGAGACUGUCCAAGUACUAAUUUGCACACAAAAUUGGUUGACUUGUGAACCACUGAGUUCUUGGGAGAUGGAGGGGCAUGUAGAAGACGUUAACAUCAAAGGUAAUCCUCUUCCUUCAACUUCAGCAACUUAAGCAUAUGGACUCCCACCCUAAACAGCAAGCUCAAAGCAACAUAUUUUGGAGAACAAGUAUGUUUCAGUCAUGGAACAUGAAUCUGAGAGUGCUCCUAGAAGAAAGAUGGGACUUUUUCUUGGUGAUGAGAUGGAGGGAAAAAUCAAGGAUCUCUAUGAGAAGAGGAACACACAAAAAUCCAAGCAAGCAUAGAGGUUGGAGAAUAUCUACAUGGUCUCACUAGCUCCACUUGACAAAUAUGAUGCCAGCUAUAGUUAUCUGUUGUAGGUGGUUGUUCAUGCCCUUAACAAUCUUAUUGGUUCUUUAUCAGCAACUUUGAAGUAGCCUGUUGGUAUCCCACUUGACUAGAGAUUGUUCAACCAGUGGCAGAAUAAAGCGUGUGGGCAUUUCAAAUGCAAGAAGCAACUCAGAAACAAAGAUUGUGAAUAAGAAGCUUUCACAAAUUCAUCUUUCCUGCAUUUCUUUCCUCUUUCUUUUUUUUUUUUUUUUUAGCUGACGUGGCAUAAGUCGACUGUCAGCUGUUUGCAAGCAACGAUUGUCCCUAGCAUUAGUGUUUUUAAUUAUACAUCUUUGGUUCCUCUCCCACAUCCUAGUCAGUCUAAUUUUCAAAGUUUAUUCUAUUAUUGAGUUUUUUUAUUACUUUUUGUUCUUUA